rnacentral:rRNA from 1 species
GAUGAACGCUGGCGGCGUGCCUAAUACAUGCAAGUCGAGCGAACGGACGAGAAGCUUGCUUCUCUGAUGUUAGCGGCGGACGGGUGAGUAACACGUGGAUAACCUACCUAUAAGACUGGGAUAACUUCGGGAAACCGGAGCUAAUACCGGAUGAUAUUUUGAACCGAAUGGUUCAAAAGUGAAAGACGGUCUUGCUGUCACUUAUAGAUGGAUCCGCGCUGCAUUAGCUAGUUGGUAAGGUAACGGCUUACCAAGGCAACGAUGCAUAGCCGACCUGAGAGGGUGAUCGGCCACACUGGAACUGAGACACGGUCCAGACUCCUACGGCAGGCAGCAGUAGGGAAUCUUCCGCAAUUGGCGAAAGCCUGACGGAGCAACGCCGCGUGAGUGAUGAAGGUCUUCGGAUCGUAAAACUCUGUUAUUAGGGAAGAACAUAUGUGUAAGUAACUGUGCACAUCUUGACGGUACCUAAUCAGAAAGCCACGGCUAACUACGUG